UGGGGCAAGUAUGGACACAACAUUCAAGCUGGAUUCAGCUCUAAAUUUGGAUUGUGAUUAAAUAGUUGACACUGCAUAGGUUUCUGACACAGAAUGAAUGUGGUCUAAUGAACUUAAAAUGUUUUUUUUUGCCUUUGAGCAAUUCACUAUGCUGUUGAAUAUUAAUCCUCUCAAAAAAAUGUUUGAAGAAAUUUUCUUUUUAUUUAUGAAAUCUGAAAUGAGAAAAUUUUAACACCCCCCCCCCCCCAUUUUUAUUUCACUUCCCCCUUUCCCUUUUCCCAAAACUGAUCUCAAUUCAAAUUUCUAAUGGAGUUUGCAACAAUAACUACUCAUUUAAAU
rnacentral:lncRNA from 1 species